rnacentral:rRNA from 1 species
UACGUAGGGUGCAAGCGUUGUCCGGAAUUAUUGGGCGUAAAGGGCUCGUAGGCGGUCUGUCGCGUCUGCUGUGAAAACUCGGGGCUUAACCCCGGGCCUGCAGCCGAUACGGGCAGGCUAGAGUUCGGUAGGGGAGACUGGAAUUCCUGGUGUAGCGGUGAAAUGCGCAGAUAUCAGGAGGAACACCGAUGGCGAAGGCAGGUCUCUGGGCCGAUACUGACGCUGAGGAGCGAAAGCGUGGGGAGCGAACAGG